rnacentral:tRNA from 1 species
GUACCCGUAGCUCAGUUGGAUAGAGCAUCAGCUUGCGGAGCUGAGGGUCGUAGGUUCAAGUCCUGCCGGGUACACCA